CCUACGGGUUGCAGCAGUGGGGAAUAUUGCACAAUGGGGGAAACCCUGAUGCAGCGACGCCGCGUGAGUGAAGAAGUAUUUCGGUACGUAAAGCUCUAUCAGCAGGGAAGAAAAUGACGGUAGCUGACUAAGAAGCACCGGCUAACUACGUGCCAGCAGCCGCGGUAAUACGUAGGGGGCAAGCGUUAUCCGGAUGUACUAGGUGUAAAGGGAGCGUAGACGGCAGCGCAAGUCUGGAGUGAAAUCCCAGGGCUUAACCAUUGAACUGCUGUGGAAACUGUGCAGCUAGAGUGCAGGAGAGGUAAGCGGAAUUCCUAGUGUAGCGGUGAAAGGCGUAGAUAUUAGGAGGAACACCAGUGGCGAAGGCGGCUUACUGGACUGUAACUGACGUUGAGGCUCGAAAGCGUGGGGAGCAAACAGGAUUAGAUACCCGGGUAGUC
rnacentral:rRNA from 1 species